CCGAUGUAGCUCAGCUGGCCAGAGCACGUGAUUUGUAAUCUCGGGGUCGUGGGUUCGACUCCCUCCAUCGG
rnacentral:tRNA from 1 species